rnacentral:lncRNA from 1 species
AUCGCUACUUCGUCUAGGUGAGCGUCUUGACUUGGAGGAAGGCCAGUUCUAUGGCCUGGAAGGAGAGUACAUGUUCUGUGGAUUAGAGGCGUUCCACCAGAGGACGGAGAGACACGUUGGACCGGCAAGAGAGGACGAGUCACUGGAGAGCCCGUCAUGAAGCCGGAAGACGUGGUCACUCAGCAGACCUAAAGCCAAGACUGGCCUGAGUCGGAUUUCCAGCAGAGACUGCCACAGUUCCCCUUCCCCAUCCCCUCCCUUGCAGAAGUUGGAAGUACUGGGCCUCAUCGUGGCGCAAGGGUGAACACCCUGUUCAAACCACAAUACACAUGUCAUGCUGAAACAGGAGCAGACUGUGUGGAGAGGUUUGAGCUGGGUGGCCAACACAGUACUACACUCACCAGUGUGAAGGAUGAAUGGAGAGUCUAUAGGCAAGUGUGCAAAAUGUGAGCUGUUGGAUGUAGUUUGUUAGUGUGUUGAAUGAAACCCAAACUUGAACCUCUUGCGUUUAAAAAAAAAUGUGUCAUAUAUUUCUUGUAAAUAAACUGUUAAAUCUAAGUUUUGACUACUACCACAACUAGUAUUAUCUUUUAUGUCAUGUAUAUUGGGGCUGGAAGUGUAACACUACAGGUUUUUAAUGCUGUCCUCUGUUUAAUUCCUCUGACUGCCCAAUAUCAGGGGAAAUGACUCUAACACGACUAGGUGAAGGACGAUAUAUCAUAAUGAGUUAUUUCCCUUUGUACAAACUGAUGAGAUGGCCUGGGUUUUAAAAAAAAUGUAUAUGCAAGUAUGUAUUUCUUGUAAGUAAAUCUUUUGAUCUAAGUUGUGACUUUGUAUUCUAGCUGACACUGCCCUGUGCUCUGCUAUUUUCAAACUGGUCAUAAAUGAGACUUUCUUGUGGUGGUAGAGACUAUGAACCUGUAGGCUACUAGAAAAAAAUUAACAAAGUUAAAUAAUUGAUUUAUGUUUUUUAAAAUUUAUUUAUGUAUUAUUUGUCUUAUAAAUACUUUUGUAUUGGCUAUUCUGUAUCUCAACUUCUGCAUGAGUAUCAAGGUACCAGACCUGCCAAGUGGUGUGAUAAAAUUGGGAAUCUCCAACUGGCCAAAAA